rnacentral:rRNA from 1 species
UGGGCCCGCGGCGCAUUAGCUAGUUGGUGGGGUAAAGGCUUACCAAGGCAAUGAUGCGUAGCCGAACUGAGAGGUUGAUCGGCCACAUUGGGGCUGAGACACGGCCCAAACUCCUACGGGAGGCAGCAGUAGGGAAUCUUCCACAAUGGGCGAAAGCCUGAUGGAGCAACGCCGCGUGGGUGAAGAAGGUCUUCGGAUCGUAAAACCCUGUUGUUAGAGAAGAAAGUGCGUGAGAGUAACUGUUCACGUUUCGACGGUAUCUAACCAGAAAGCCACGGCUAACUACGUGCCAGCAGCCGCGGUAAUACGUAGGUGGCAAGCGUUAUCCGGAUUUAUUGGGCGUAAAGGGAACGCAGGCGGUCUUUUAAGUCUGAUGUGAAAGCCUUCGGCUUAACCGGAGUAGUGCAUUGGAAACUGGGAGACUUGAGUGCAGAAGAGGAGAGUGGAACUCCAUGUGUAGCGGUGAAAUGCGUAGAUAUAUGGAAGAACACCAGUGGCGAAAGCGGCUCUCUGGUCUGUAACUGACGCUGAGGUUCGAAAGCGUGGGUAGCAAACAGGAUUAGAUACCCUGGUAGUCCACGCCGUAAACGAUGAAUGCUAAGUGUUGGAGGGUUUCCGCCCUUCA